AAAUUGAAGAGUUUGAUCAUGGCUCAGAUUGAACGCUGGCGGCAGGCCUAACACAUGCAAGUCGAGCGGUAACACAGGGAGCUUGCUCCCGGGUGACGAGCGGCGGACGGGUGAGUAAUGUCUGGGAAACUGCCUGAUGGAGGGGGAUAACUACUGGAAACGGUAGCUAAUACCGCAUAACGUCGCAAGACCAAAGAGGGGGACCUUCGGGCCUCUUGCCAUCAGAUGUGCCCAGAUGGGAUUAGCUAGUAGGUGGGGUAACGGCUCACCUAGGCGACGAUCCCUAGCUGGUCUGAGAGGAUGACCAGCCACACUGGAACUGAGACACGGUCCAGACUCCUACGGGAGGCAGCAGUGGGGAAUAUUGCACAAUGGGCGCAAGCCUGAUGCAGCCAUGCCGCGUGUAUGAAGAAGGCCUUCGGGUUGUAAAGUACUUUCAGCGGGGAGGAAGGUGUUGAGGUUAAUAACCUCAGCAAUUGACGUUACCCGCAGAAGAAGCACCGGCUAACUCCGUGCCAGCAGCCGCGGUAAUACGGAGGGUGCAAGCGUUAAUCGGAAUUACUGGGCGUAAAGCGCACGCAGGCGGUCUGUCAAGUCGGAUGUGAAAUCCCCGGGCUCAACCUGGGAACUGCAUUCGAAACUGGCAGGCUAGAGUCUUGUAGAGGGGGGUAGAAUUCCAGGUGUAGCGGUGAAAUGCGUAGAGAUCUGGAGGAAUACCGGUGGCGAAGGCGGCCCCCUGGACAAAGACUGACGCUCAGGUGCGAAAGCGUGGGGAGCAAACAGGAUUAGAUACCCUGGUAGUCCACGCCGUAAACGAUGUCGACUUGGAGGUUGUGCCCUUGAGGCGUGGCUUCCGGAGCUAACGCGUUAAGUCGACCGCCUGGGGAGUACGGCCGCAAGGUUAAAACUCAAAUGAAUUGACGGGGGCCCGCACAAGCGGUGGAGCAUGUGGUUUAAUUCGAUGCAACGCGAAGAACCUUACCUACUCUUGACAUCCAGAGAACUUUCCAGAGAUGGAUUGGUGCCUUCGGGAACUCUGAGACAGGUGCUGCAUGGCUGUCGUCAGCUCGUGUUGUGAAAUGUUGGGUUAAGUCCCGCAACGAGCGCAACCCUUAUCCUUUGUUGCCAGCGGUCCGGCCGGGAACUCAAAGGAGACUGCCAGUGAUAAACUGGAGGAAGGUGGGGAUGACGUCAAGUCAUCAUGGCCCUUACGAGUAGGGCUACACACGUGCUACAAUGGCGCAUACAAAGAGAAGCGACCUCGCGAGAGCAAGCGGACCUCAUAAAGUGCGUCGUAGUCCGGAUUGGAGUCUGCAACUCGACUCCAUGAAGUCGGAAUCGCUAGUAAUCGUAGAUCAGAAUGCUACGGUGAAUACGUUCCCGGGCCUUGUACACACCGCCCGUCACACCAUGGGAGUGGGUUGCAAAAGAAGUAGGUAGCUUAACCUUCGGGAGGGCGCUUACCACUUUGUGAUUCAUGACUGGGGUGAAGUCGUAACAAGGUAACCGUAGGGGAACCUGCGGUUGGAUCACCUCCUUACCUUAAAGAA
rnacentral:rRNA from 1 species